AGCUUUCCGAAUCCAUUCAAAGAUUUCACCAGACACCAACCCACUAGGGCUGAUCAGACUUCCAAGAUAUGUGAAGUU
rfam:Schistosoma mattheei strain Denwood, Zambia genome assembly, scaffold: SMTD_scaffold0021595